AUUUCCCCCAUGCUGUUCUUGAAGUAGUGAAUAAGUCUCACGAGAUCUGAAUGUUUUAUAAGGGGAAAUCCCUUUCACUUGGUUUUCAUUCUCUCUCGUCUGCCACCAUGAAAGAUGUGCGUUUCACGUUCCACUAUGAUUGUGAGGCCUCCCCAGCUGCAUGGAACUAGACAAGGUCUCGCUAUGUUGCCAAGUUUGGCCUUGAACUCCUGGCCUCAAGCAAUCUUCCCACCUUGGCCUCCUGAGUUGCUGGGAUUUCAGUUAACUUAUCAAAACAGUAAUGCUAUGUCAUAAUAUCACAUAGUUUUGAAACCGUUUUCAGUGGGAAGUGCUUUGUAGAUUUCUUCUCAUUCAUUCUUUUGCUAUCUGUAUUUUUAAUAUAUUAUUUAUAAAUUUGAUCUUGUUUGUUCCUAUGUCAUCUCUAUUGUAGGACUUACCAUCAUAUAAUCUAGUAGUAAGUUUUAUGAGAGCUCUCCGUGCCCCAUAGUCUCAUUGAACCAACCAUCUCUGUUUCUUCAGCACCUCAUGGAGCUGAAUGUUUCUUUUUACACUGUGAAUAAAGGGACAGGUGAGUUGUUGGAAUGUUCUCUGAUUUUGGGGAAUGGAGAAUCUGGGUUCAUACAGUGAAGGCUUUCGUGACAGCCUGGUCUGCUUACUGAAAGCUUCAGCUUUCUUUUAAUGCUUAGUGUAUAGAUGUGAUAAAAUCACUCACAGAAACAAUGAUUCGUCUUCCUAGACACAUCUGUAGGAGUUCCUUGAAGGACAGUGGAUCUAGUCCUAAAUACUUUAUAUUCACCCCUUCAAUGAGUAAUCAACUUCACUCCAUCCAGAAGUUGGGUAGUUAGGAACUUGAAAACAAUCUAAGAAACUUUUGCAAUUUCAGGCUUAAAUGAUAGUGUAUGUAAAUGUACAUGUUUCUGUCACAUCAUAGAAAUUAAAUCCAGGAGCCAAAGAAGCCUUUGUUAAUUUUCCUAGAAAGAGAAGCAAGGGGAAAAAAAGGGCGAGUCUAUCCAGAAAACCGCUAAGUGAUCUGUGGCUAGCAGGGCAUCCCACAAUUAUAAACAUUUUUUUGAAAUUAUCUAGGCAGUAUCAUAGGUCUUAUUUCAUAACAUCUCAAACUAAUAUCAAAGAGAAAAAAAAACUUCUAACUUAUUCCUUUGAAAUAUAAUUGAUGGCCAUAAGUCCCAGUAGGCUUACCAGAUUCUUCCUUGGGAGCAGGAAGUAAAUAUGACAACAGACCAAGACUAAAGUGAUACCAACAUGGAACUUCAGUCUGUUCAAAUAGGAAGAUGGGCCAGGACCCAUCUUAGAGUUGUGGUGUCCAGUAUGGUAGCCAUGAACUCCAUUUGGCUCUUUAAAUUAAUGAAAAUGAUAAAUAAUUUAAAAACUGGUUUCUCCCUCACACCAGCCACAGUUCAAGUGGUCAGUAGCCACAUGUGGCUGGUGGACAUCAUAUUGGAGAGUGCAGAUUAUUAUACAAUGUUGUAUGUACGCAUUAUUGUCAUCGUGGAAAGUUCUUUUGGACAGGACUGGCUUACAGUCAGAGCUUUCACUGUUAGAAAGUGACCAGUCUAACUGAUUAGAAAGCAAGGGGUCACUAGCAGCAUUGGUUAGUUAGAUUGAAGGUCAAUAACUACAGUUUAGCUAGGUUUAGAAAUACAAGCAGAACAUGAUCUGGAUAAUAACUCUUUGCUGCUUAAUUGCUAACCAAAAACAGCCAGAUAGUGACCGUUUUGGAGGUGAAGGGGAUGGGAGAUUAGAUUGGCUUGUCUUUCAUAUGAAACCACUCUUGACUUUGAUGUGAAGUUUAAAGAUUUGAUCCCUUCCUAGGUCUUCUGCAUCCUAUUUUAAUAUGCUACCACUUACUUUAGAAAUUCUCAUAUCUGGAUUUUAUGAUGAUUGGUCUGGUGCUCCACAGACCUCACCAGAAACUUUAACGCUACGUGCCUUGGGCUUUCUUGCUGGAAAAUAUCCUGUGUAGAACACUCUGUCUGCCUCUAGGUAAGUGUCAUUUUCGGGGAGGGAAUCUCCCUGAGGACUUCUGCCAUUUCAGAUGAGAAAGCCCAGAAUUAUUCUUACAGCAUAAGAUGCCACAUAGUGGUUAUGAUAUGAAUAUAAGAAAUGACUUAGAGGAGAUGCGGGGGGGGUGCUGCU
rnacentral:lncRNA from 1 species